CCUACGGGUGGCAGCAGUGAGGAAUAUUGGUCAAUGGGCGCGAGCCUGACCCAGCCAAGUAGCGUGAAGGAUGACUGCCCUACGGGUUGUAAACUUCUUUUAUAGAGGAAUAAAGUGAGGCACGUGUGCCUUUUUGUCUGUACUUUAUGAAUACGGAUCGGCUAACUCCGUGCUAGCAGCCGCGGUAAUACGGAGGAUCCGAGCGUUCUCCGGAUUUAUUGGGUUUAAAGGGAGCGUAGAUGGGUUGUUAAGUCAGAUGUGAAAGUUUGCGGCUCAACCGUAGAAUUGCAAUUGAUACUGGCAGCCUUGAGUACUGUUGAGGUAGGCUGAAUUCGUGGUGUAGCGGUGAAAUGCUUAGAUAUCACGAAGAACUCCGAUUGCGAAGGCAGCUUACUAAACUGCCACUGACAUUGAUGCGCGAAAGUGUGGGUAUCAAACAGGAUUAGAUACCCCGGUAGUC
rnacentral:rRNA from 1 species